rnacentral:lncRNA from 1 species
GGAUGAUUGAGAAUCUUUGCCAUUUCCUCCAGAUGCUCUAAAAUAUAGGGAGGAUUUGUCAUGCCAAGCCUCAGCAUAGCUCCCUCAGGAAUAGCUUCAACCAGCUUCCACAGAAGUGUAGGGAGGUCUGUGCCAAUGUCUCUGCCAUAAGCCCCUGUGUCUUCACUGGUCAGCCAUAUCUCACAAACACCCUCUUGAAAAGACUGUUUGGCUCUAUCCACUAGUUCUUCAAUGGGAUAGCUUGCUAGAUCUCCUCUGGCAUGCUUAGUUUUGCAGUAAGUACAUGCAUUGAGACACCCUGUAUUGAUGGAAAUGAUUUCUAUAAGUGGAUUCUUCCUGAUCUUUGGUAAAUCCAGUCGUGCUCCCCCCAAACGUUUUCCAUUAUCCUUUUUCUGACCAAGCAGUCUCACAGAAUGACCUUUAAUAGUUUCCUCCACAACUUCUACUACACGAUCUAUCUGCUGAACC